rnacentral:rRNA from 1 species
AGAGUUUGAUCCUGGCUCAGAUUGAACGCUGGCGGCAUGCCUUACACAUGCAAGUCGAACGGUAACGCGGGGCAACCUGGCGACGAGUGGCGAACGGGUGAGUAACGCAUCGGAACGUGCCCAGUAGUGGGGGAUAGCCCGGCGAAAGCCGGAUUAAUACCGCAUACGACCUACGGGUGAAAGCGGGGGACCGUAAGGCCUCGCGCUAUUGGAGCGGCCGAUGUCAGAUUAGGUAGUUGGUGGGGUAAAAGCCUACCAAGCCGACGAUCUGUAGCUGGUCUGAGAGGACGACCAGCCACACUGGGACUGAGACACGGCCCAGACUCCUACGGGAGGCAGCAGUGGGGAAUUUUGGACAAUGGGCGCAAGCCUGAUCCAGCCAUGCCGCGUGCGGGAUGAAGGCCUUCGGGUUGUAAACCGCUUUUGUCAGGGAAGAAACGCUCCGGGCCAAUACCCUGGGGUAAUGACGGUACCUGAAGAAUAAGCACCGGCUAACUACGUGCCAGCAGCCGCGGUAAUACGUAGGGUGCAAGCGUUAAUCGGAAUUACUGGGCGUAAAGCGUGCGCAGGCGGUUUUGUA